rnacentral:rRNA from 1 species
UACGUAGGGUGCAAGCGUUGUCCGGAAUUAUUGGGCGUAAAGAGCUCGUAGGCGGUUUGUCGCGUCGGCUGUGAAAGCCCGGAGCUCAACUCCGGGUCUGCAGUCGAUACGGGCAGACUUGAGUGUUGCAGGGGAGAAUGGAAUUCCUGGUGUAGCGGUGAAAUGCGCAGAUAUCAGGAGGAACACCGAUGGCGAAGGCAGGUCUCUGGGCCACUACUGACGCUGAGAAGCGAAAGCAUGGGGAGCGAACAGG